UACGUAGGGGGCUAGCGUUGUCCGGAAUCAUUGGGCGUAAAGCGCGCGUAGGCGGCCAACUAAGUCCGACGUGAAAUCCCCAGGCUUAACCUGGGAACUGCGUCGGAUACUGGAUGGCUUGAAUUCGGGAGAGGAUGCAGAAUUCCAGGUGUAGGCGGUGAAAUGACGUAGAUAUCUGGAGGAAUACCGGUGGCGAAGGCGGCAUCCUGGACCGACAUUGACGCUGAUGAGCGAAAGCUAGGGGAGCAAAG
rnacentral:rRNA from 1 species